rnacentral:rRNA from 1 species
UGAGGAAUUUUGGACAAUGGGGGAAACCCUGAUCCAGCGACGCCGCGUGAAGGAUGAAGGUCUUCGGAUUGUAAACUUCUUUUAUUUGGGACUAAGAAACUCAUGGAAACAUGGGGAGUGAAUGUACCAAGUGAAUAAGCCACGGCUAACUUCGUGCCAGCAGCCGCGGUAAUACGAAGGUGGCAAGCGUUACUCGGAAUUACUAGGCGUAAAGGGCAGGUAGGUGGUUUGGUUAGUCUGUUGUGAAAGCUCCCGGCUUAACUGGGAGAGGUCAACGGAUACUGCCGAACUUGAGUAUAGGAGAGGUUACUGGAAUUCCCGGUGUAGCGGUGAAAUGCGCAGAGAUCGGGAGGAACACCAAUGGCGAAAGCAGGUAACUGGACUAUUACUGACACUCAGCUGCGAAAGCUAGGGGAGCAAACAGG